rnacentral:rRNA from 1 species
AAUACUCCAUAGGUCUAGGAUGCUGGAAUGCACUUAGACUUAAAACUUCGGUGCCUAAGGAUGAGUCUGCGGACUAUCAGGUUGUAGUCAGGGUAAAGACCUGACUAGCCCACGACGGAUAUGGGUUGUGAGAGCAAUAACCCAGAGAUGAUAUCCGAGACACGAUAUCAGGCCCUACGGGGCGCAGCAGGCGCGAAAACUUCACACUGCGCGAAAGCGCGAUGAGGGAAUCCCAAGUGCUUGCACGUAAGUGUAAGCUGUUUCUAUGUUUAAAUUGCAUAGAGAGUAAGGGCUGGGUAAGACGGGUGCCAACCGCCGCGGUAAUACCUGCAGCUCAAGUGGUGACCGUUAUUAUUGGGCCUAAAACGUCC